GCAUGAUCUAGCUUGCUAGAUUGAUGGCGAGUGGCGAACGGGUGAGUAAUACAUCGGAACGUGCCCUGUAGUGGGGGAUAACUAGUCGAAAGAUUAGCUAAUACCGCAUACGACCUGAGGGUGAAAGUGGGGGACCGCAAGGCCUCAUGCUAUAGGAGCGGCCGAUGUCUGAUUAGCUAGUUGGUGAGGUAAAGGCUCACCAAGGCGACGAUCAGUAGCUGGUCUGAGAGGACGAUCAGCCACACUGGGACUGAGACACGGCCCAGACUCCUACGGGAGGCAGCAGUGGGGAAUUUUGGACAAUGGACGAAAGCCUGAUCCAGCAAUGCCGCGUGUGUGAAGAAGGCCUUCGGGUUGUAAAGCACUUUUGUCCGGAAAGAAAUGGCUCUGGUUAAUACCUGGGGUCGAUGACGGUACCGGAAGAAUAAGGACCGGCUAACUACGUGCCAGCAGCCGCGGUAAUACGUAGGGUCCAAGCGUUAAUCGGAAUUACUGGGCGUAAAGCGUGCGCAGGCGGUUGUGCAAGACCGAUGUGAAAUCCCCGAGCUUAACUUGGGAAUUGCAUUGGUGACUGCACGGCUAGAGUGUGUCAGAGGGGGGUAGAAUUCCACGUGUAGCAGUGAAAUGCGUAGAGAUGUGGAGGAAUACCGAUGGCGAAGGCAGCCCCCUGGGAUAACACUGACGCUCAUGCACGAAAGCGUG
rnacentral:rRNA from 1 species